rnacentral:tRNA from 1 species
UGGCCGCAGCUUGGCAAAUCGUGGAGUUUGGGACUCAUAAUCCCUUGGUCGCAGGUUCGAUCCCUGCCCGGCCCACCC